GACGAACGCUGGCGGCGUGCUUAACACAUGCAAGUCGAACGAUGAAGCCGGAGCUUGCUCUGGUGAAUUAGUGGCGAACGGGUGAGUAACACGUGAGUAACCUGCCCUUGACUCUGGGAUAACUGCGGGAAACUGUAGCUAAUACCGGAUACGACCCUCGGAGGCAUCUCCUGGGGGUGGAAAGAAUUUCGGUCAAGGAUGGACUCGCGGCCUAUCAGCUAGUUGGUGAGGUAAAGGCUCACCAAGGCGACGACGGGUAGCCGGCCUGAGAGGGUGACCGGCCACACUGGGACUGGGACACGGCCCAGACGCCUACGGGGGGCAGCAGUGGGGAAUAUUGCACAAUGGGCGCAAGCCUGAUGCAGCAACGCCGCGUGAGGGAUGACGGCCUUCGGGUUGUAAACCUCUUUUAGCAGGGAAGAAGCGAAAGUGACGGUACCUGCAGAAAAAGCACCGGCUAACUACGUGCCAGCAGCCGCCGUAA
rnacentral:rRNA from 1 species